rnacentral:lncRNA from 1 species
AAUUUGAUGGCCGAAACUCUCUUUAAUAGAUUGGCAGUAGUAGAAAAUCUGGAUGAGGCAUUUUUGAUAGUGGGCAGAAAUUCUACUCAGACAGGCAACUACAUUACCAGGUUAAUUGGUGCAAAAUAGUGUACAGUAACUGUCUGAUUGUAGUUAAAAUUUUAUUAGUUGAUUUUAAAAAUUGAGGUUGAUUGGUGGAUAAUAUUAUUAAUUUG